rnacentral:rRNA from 1 species
ACUCCUACGGGAGGCAGCAGUGGGGAAUAUUGGACAAUGGGCGCAAGCCUGAUCCAGCCAUGCCGCGUGAGUGAUGAAGGCCCUAGGGUUGUAAAGCUCUUUUGUGCGGGAAGAUAAUGACGGUACCGCAAGAAUAAGCCCGGCUAACUUCGUGCCAGCAGCCGCGGUAAUACGAAGGGGGCUAGCGUUGCUCGGAAUCACUGGGCGUAAAGGGUGCGUAGGCGGGUCUUUAAGUCAGGGGUGAAAUCCUGGAGCUCAACUCCAGAACUGCCUUUGAUACUGAAGAUCUUGAGUUCGGGAGAGGUGAGUGGAACUGCGAGUGUAGAGGUGAAAUUCGUAGAUAUUCGCAAGAACACCAGUGGCGAAGGCGGCUCACUGGCCCGAUACUGACGCUGAGGCACGAAAGCGUGGGGAGCAAACAGGAUUAGAUACCCCAGUAGUCCCAUG